rnacentral:rRNA from 1 species
GCCCCCCAGCUAGCCCUCCUACCCAAAAAUAACAAACCACCUUAAUUAACCCCCCAUGUUUUAACUAGGAACAAGUAAAGCAUUUUUCCCCCUUAGUAUAUGAGAUAGAAAAGGACUCUAGGCGCGAUAGAUGAAGUACCGUGAGGGAAAGCUGAAAGAGAGAUGAAAUAGUCCUAAAAGCACAGAAAAGCAGAGUUUCUGCCUCGUACCUU